rnacentral:rRNA from 1 species
UAUCUCUGUAGAGUCUGCAUAUCAAUAAGCGGAGGAAAAGAAACUAACAAGGAUUCCCUUAGUAACGGCGAGUGAAGCGGGAAGAGCUCAAAUUUGAAAUCUUCAAGGUUCUACCUUGACGAAUUGUAGUUUAAAGAAGUGUUUUCUGUUAGAUGAGUAGCAAAAGUUCUUUGGAAUAGGACAUCAUAGAGGGUGAGAAUCCCGUAUUUGACCAUUAUUUCCAGCUUUGUGAUACACUUUCAAAGAGUCGGAUUGUUUGGGAAUGCAGUCCAAAAUGGGUGGUAAAUUUCAUCUAAAGCUAAAUACUGGCGAGAGACCGAUAGCGAACAAGUACCGUGAGGGAAAGAUGAAAAGAACUUUGAAAAGAGAGUUAAACAGUACGUGAAAUUGUCAAAAGGGAAGCGUUUGACACCAGUGUUGUUUUUCCGAAAAUCAAUUACGAAUGGCUUGAUUCUGUGUUGUAUUGACCUUAUCAGCUUUCUGCACUUUUUUCGAGUCUUUCUUAAUGCACUUUUCGGUUAACAAGUCAACAUCAAUUUCUUUUGUUGUAAAAGAGUAUUCGGAAGGUGGCUUUCUUUUCGGAGAAAGUGUUUAUAGCCUUUGGCUUCUACAAUCGGAGAGAUUGAGGUCUGCAGCGUAGAUCCUUCGGGGUUAGAUACACUUGUGCUAAGUUGUAGCUUUUCAUAGACAACUUGUUGACUAUGUUUAGUCAUGCGGCUUACUCGCUUGUGCUAUUUUACCUACGCUUAGGAUGUUGACGAGACUGUCGAUCUCU